GCAAGUCGAACGAAGUAGCAAUACUUAGUGGCAGACGGGUGAGUAACAUGUAGGUAUCUGCCCUUUGGCCUGGAAUAACACGAGGAAACUUGUGCUAAUACCGGAUAAGUCUUUACGGAGAAAGCUUUAUGCACCAUUGGAUGAGCCUGCACUUGAUUAGUUUGUUGGUGGGGUAAUGGCCUACCAAGACUUUGAUCAAUAGCUGAUUUGAGAGGAUGAUCAGCCACAUUGGGACUGAGACACGGCCCAAACUCCUACGGGAGGCAGCAGUGGGGAAUCUUGCACAAUGGAGGAAACUCUGAUGCAGCGAUGCCGCGUGAGUGAAGAAGGCCCUUGGGUUGUAAAGCUCUUUCGUCGGGGAAGAAAAUGACUGUACCCGAAUAAGAAGGUCCGGCUAACUUCGUGCCAGCAGCCGCGGUAAUACGAAGGGACCUAGCGUAGUUCGGAAUUACUGGGCUUAAAGAGUUCGUAGGUGGUUGAAAAAGUUGGUGGUGAAAUCCCAGAGCUUAACUCUGGAACUGCCAUCAAAACUUUUCAGCUAGAGUAUGAUAGAGGAAAGCAGAAUUUCUAGUGUAGAGGUGAAAUUCGUAGAUAUUAGAAAGAAUACCAAUUGCGAAGGCAGCUUUCUGGAUCAUUACUGACACUGAGGAACGAAAGCAUGGGUAGCGAAGAGGAUUAGAUACCCUCGUAGUCCAUGCCGUAAACGAUGUGUGUUAGACGUUGGAAAUUUAUUUUCAGUGUCGCAGCGAAAGCGAUAAACACA
rnacentral:rRNA from 1 species